GAAAUGCGAUAAGUAGUGUGAAUUGCAGAAUUCAGUGAAUCAUCGAAUCUUUGAACGCACAUUGCGCCCCUUGGUAUUCCAUGGGGCAUGCCUGUUCGAGCGUCAUUUGUACCCUCAAGCUCUGCUUGGUGUUGGGUGUUUGUCCCGUCUCCGCGCGCGGACUCGCCCCAAAGUGAUUGGCAGCCGGCGUACUGGUCCCGGAGCGCAGCACAUGUCGCGCAAACGAGUGCCUUGGUACGGCGGCGUCCAUAAGCCCCUCUCUCACGCUCUUGACCUCGGAUCAGGUAGGGAUACCCGCUGAACUUAAGC
rnacentral:misc_RNA from 1 species